rnacentral:lncRNA from 1 species
GUGGGCGUUGUCAAUUGAUCGUGUUCGGAUAAUAAGCAUUCGUUAUGCUGUCUGGUUUUUUUCACAUCCGGGACAAAAUCCUGAACAGAAUCGAUCCAAUUGGACUACAAUGAUCAUUUAUUUUACCGAGUGUUCUGACUUUCAUACAAAUCAUAAAUGACCAUCAGUUUGUAAGAUAAUAUGUUUUGAAGAUCUUCUCUCCUUGUAUUCCCAAAUCUUUUCGUAAAUUUGAUUUUUGCAUA